UGUCCGUACCGAGAACCGACACAGGUGUCCAUGGCGGCGAAAGCCAAGGCCUGUCGGGAGCAACCAACGUUAGGGAAUUCGGCAAGUUAGUCCCGUACCUUCGGAAGAAGGGAUGCCUGCUCCGGAACGGAGCAGGUCGAAGUGACUCGGAAGCUCGGACUGUCUAGUAACAACAUAGGUGACCGCAAAUCCGCAAGGACUCGUACGGUCACUGAAUCCUGCCCAGUGCAGGUAUCUGAACACCUCGUACAAGAGGACGAAGGACCUGUCAACGGCGGGGGUAACUAUGACCCUCUUAAGGUAGCGUAGUACCUUGCCGCAUCAGUAGCGGCUUGCAUGAAUGGAUUAACCAGAGCUUCACUGUCCCAACGUUGGGCCCGGUGAACUGUACAUUCCAGUGCGGAGUCUGGAGACACCCAGGGGGAAGCGAAGACCCUAUGGAGCUUUACUGCAGGCUGUCGCUGAGACGUGGUCGCCGAUGUGCAGCAUAGGUAGGAGNGAGACACCCAGGGGGAAGCGAAGACCCUAUGGAGCUUUACUGCAGGCUGUCGCUGAGACGUGGUCGCCGAUGUGCAGCAUAGGUAGGAGACACUACACAGGUACCCGCGCUAGCGGGCCACCGAGUCAACAGUGAAAUACUACCCGUCGGUGACUGCGACUCUCACUCCGGGAGGAGGACACCGAUAGCCGGGCAGUUUGACUGGGGCGGUACGCNCAGUGAAAUACUACCCGUCGGUGACUGCGACUCUCACUCCGGGAGGAGGACACCGAUAGCCGGGCAGUUUGACUGGGGCGGUACGCGCUCGAAAAGAUAUCGAGCGCGCCCUAUGGCUAUCUCAGCCGGGACAGAGACCCGGCGAAGAGUGCAAGAGCAAAAGAUAGCUUGACAGUGUUCUUCCCAACGAGGAACGCUGACGCGAAAGCGUGGUCUAGCGAACCAAUUAGCCUGCUUGAUGCGGGCAAUUGAUGACAGAAAAGCUACCCUAGGGAUAACAGAGUCGUCACUCGCAAGAGCACAUAUCGACCGAGUGGCUUGCUACCUCGAUGUCGGUUCCCUCCAUCCUGCCCGUGCAGAAGCGGGCAAGGGUGAGGUUGUUCGCCUAUUAAAGGAGGUCGUGAGCUGGGUUUAGACCGUCGUGAGACAGGUCGGCUGCUAUCUACUGGGUGUGUUAUGGUGUCUGACAAGAACGACCGUAUAGUACGAGAGGAACUACGGUUGGUGGCCACUGGUGUACCGGUUGUUCGAGAGAGCACGUGCCGGGUAGCCACGCCACACGGGGUAAGAGCUGAACGCAUCUAAGCUCGAAACCCACUUGGAAAAGAGACACCG
rnacentral:rRNA from 1 species